AAAAAAGAGCAGCCACCAGGAAAAAAAACUAGAGAAGAUUCACUCAUUGUUGCCACAAAGACACCUCUCCCCUUCCCACUCCCUCUCCAUGCUCAUUCCUCCAACAGUGCUACAAAGACGUGCAGUCUGCGCCGGGAGUUGCUGAGCCCGAGCCGUGAGCUCCUCAACUCCGCGGGGGCCGUGCCAGGAGACCCGGGGCUCAAGAGUCCUCCGAGAGUAGGUGUGGGAGAUUGGGCAGUGUUGUCAUGGAUUUCAUACUAGAAGUUUCAAGUUAAAAAAUGAGCUGGAAGACAACAGUGGUGCGGAAUAUGAGAGGAAGGUUUGUGAGGAAGAAAACAAAACGGACUGUGUGGACUAAUGAAAGGAUGGUUUUAAGCGCGGGUUUGGCGGCUGGCCCUGUCCGUGUCCCCGAGUUGGACUUCCCGGCUGCUGGUGAUCCUGCCGG